rnacentral:lncRNA from 1 species
GACUUGAUUGUCCACUCUAUGCCUAGAGUAUAUACUUUUAAUCUGUGAACUAUUCCCAACAAUUAUUGAAUACUAAUUCUGUAUUUGAGAGUAAUUUUCCAACUAGCAACUGUUUUUUUGACUAUUUUUCUGAGGAAAGAUUGCAAGAUAAUACACAGGUGGCUAUAUAUAUAUAUAUAAAGGAUAAUUGCUUCUAAAGGACUCAAAUGGAAAGAGGAGACAGUCAAAAAAUCAACAACGACAAAUACAAAGAGAGGAAGAAUUAAGUUUAUCAUCUAAAAAUUCAGACAUUUGGACUAAAUCAUUUUUGCCAAACGGACAUUUCCCUAAAGGACAAAGAAAAGUGAUCAGAGAAGUCAAAAUUAACACCAAAACAAGUAUCAAGAUAAUUUUAUAUGAUUUAGAGAAUAAUGGGAUUAAUGUUCAUGAAGAACAAUAUUUAUAAUGCUUCAUAAAGAAAGAUAUCAUGGGAGACGUCCAAGAAAGACAUAAUUACUCAAACCUCGACACCUUAGAUCAGAUCAACAAUUUGCAACAACAGUCAACAUUAUUGUGGUCAGAUGAAACAAAAAUCAAUUUUUUUGGUAACAGUUCUACCCAGUUCGUUUGGAAGAAAUUUGGAGAGGCCUUCUCUCCUCAUAACUCGAUACAUACAGUAAAAACAUGGUGGUGGAUCAAUCAUGCAUUAGGGAGGCUUUUUUCCAAAGGUACUGGACGGCUUGUAAAAGUGAAUGGAAAAAAGAAAAUUGUGUCAGUAUUGUAGACAAAAAUUUGAAAUCUUCUGCAAAAAGUUCAGAGCUGUCGUAAGAUGUUAUUCCAACAGAACAAUGUCCCAAAGUAUUCCAGCAUGGUUGUAUUUUCAUGGUUUAAAUUGAGUAAGAUUAAGGUUUUGAACAGGGCUUUGUUCACUAAAUUCUUCCACCGCCACUUCCCUGAGCAUCAAUGAACCCUCAUUAUACACUAAAAUACACCCCGACCCUCAGGUUGUACAUGUUAGGUGCUGGGACAAAAGAAAAUUUAAACUCUACCGCCUACGCGUUUCUAUGUACCAAAGACCCUUUAUAAUAUGCUGUAUCAUACCUCACCCAACAGGUUCUGCUAGUGAACUCUUGAGCCCCGAAACAACUUAAAUUUUUCCACCUCUACUCCCUCAACAAUCACACAUGGUUUAUGGAUUGUGUACAUGAGUUGCUGCGGCCCAAAAUAGGGUAAAUUCUUCCACCACUACUUCUUUGAGUACUAAGGAACUCUUCGAAUAUCCAAAAUACAACCUGGGCAUCAGGUUGUACAGGGGAAGUACUGGGAUAUAAGGCACUUUCAACUUUACUGCCCGCGUUUUAAGCACCUAGGACCUCUUCUAAUAUGCAAUAGUAUACUCAGGCUCAUGGUUGUGCAGAAUCCAUACAUUAAAAUUGGAUAUGUAUAAUACUUCAUUAGUCUAAUAAAUGAUAACGAAUAUAUAUAUAAUACAUACCUAUUUUAUUUAUAAGAAUAUAUAUAUUUUUUCAUGCUUAGAGAAUCCACGACUAUACAAGCUGUUCACAUACACAACUUGUGGUUCAGGAUUCGUUAUAGCAUAUUAUAAGUGCUUAAAAACGCAGUGGCAGUAUACUUUGGUGGUAUAAGAGGUUUAGGUAUAUUCUAGAAUAUUUCAAGAGGUUCUUGGUGCUUACAAAGACGGAAAGGGUAGAGUUUAUUUAUGUCCAGCUUUUUUUCUAUAUGCUCAUGGAAGCGGCGGUGAGUAACUUUAACUUGACUGUGGCCCAGCACUUUGUCUGCACAACUUCAAGACAAGGGUGUAUUCUAUAUAUUAAAUGUGAAUGUCUGUGCUUAUGUCCUUCAAUCACGCCCGAAAAAAUGGAUGGAUUUUGUUGACAUUUUUCACUUCUGUUUUUAUGGUUCCAAAAAUAGUUCUAAUAACAUUUCUGUGGGGUCCUCAGGCCCAUGAUGGCAUUGAAAUAGCAUUUCACCACUUUGUCCGACAAACCUGAGGGCCUACCAGCUUUUCUUCAUAAUUUGUUGUCGGGAUAUAUAUUCUAGUACCGUGGAAGUGAUUCUUGGUGCUUAGAAAUGGGGCGGUGGUUUAGUUUAAACUGCCUUGUGGCCCGAUAAUUCACCUGGGCUGGGGUUUAUUUUGGAAUAAAGGAGGGUUCCUAGAUGCUCAGUGUAGUGGUGGCGCAGAAAUUUAAUUUGACUCGGCCACAGCAGUUCAACUGAACAACCCACGGGGUGGAGGGUAUUAUAUAAUUUUUUAUGUAGGUUCUUAAAGCUUCAGAAACACUUCUGUAGACAAUUUUUUCGUUCUUUAAGGCCAUGGCUACCUUUAAAUAGCAUUUUUCUAAACACCACGUAAAAUUUUAAGAAUUA